GGUGAGCGAGGAGACAUCAUCCUGCUGUCUGAGCCUGUUGGCUUGACUUCUGAAAUUCCUUGUAAAUCCCUGCUGUGUGGGAAGGUGGUGUUGUGUCAGAUAGCAACCUUAUGCUCCUCCUUAAUCCCUGGAGCAUGGCUCUCCAAGAAGUGUGGGGUGGGCUCCUGGCUCUGUGGCUGUGUGCUCUGGAGUCAAUUGGGAAAGAAGAAAAGAAAUACUUGAGUUUUGUUGAGGAGCCACAUCAGAAAGCCUAAAAAGGGGAAAAGGCUAACAAGCCAGCAGUAUUCUGGCUGAUCUGUUUUCUUUGUGUCUCCCAGAUCAAAGACUAAGGGCACAUAAAGAUGAGGGAAGGAAGGCAGGACAAAAAGGUUUAUCUUCUCAGUGGUGUUUCCUAUCAGAGACAGGAAGCUAGCUGGGACUAUCACCUAGUCCUGACCUCUUUGACUAAGUUGGUCCUUGCAGCUCCCUUUGACACAGGGCCCUGGUUCCUGGAUGACAAGCAACAGGAAACGUGGAUGUUGACGCACAACUGUCGUGUUCCAAAGCCUCAGCCAAGAAGGAGAGUGUGUCCCAGACAAGACUAAUCUCAUAGCUCCUGUGCUCCAGGAAGGAGAUCCAGGAGGAGCUGCUAGGACUUUAAAGUCCCUUCCAUCCUGUGGCACCUCCCGUCUCCAUUGUGAGGCUGACAUGGCACACAUGUUCAUGUGCAACCCUUUGGACAGUUUCUGGAUUGAAUUUCCCUUUUCACUGCUUGUGGCCCUGCCAUGCUAAGGAUGCCACCAACACAAGCCCAAGUACCAACAUCUGCAGGUCAGGACUUGACUCUCUGCAUUACGGGGCUAGCAGAACAAGUUGCUAAGACAGAUGGAGAUGCUUUCCUGGCUACU